rnacentral:rRNA from 1 species
CCUACGGGCGGCAGCAGUGAGGAAUAUUGGUCAAUGGGCGCUAGCCUGAACCAGCCAAGUAGCGUGAAGGAUGACUGCCCUAUGGGUUGUAAACUUCUUUUAUAUGGGAAUAAAGUGCAGUAUGUAUACUGCUUUGCAUGUACCUUAUGAAUAAGGAUCGGCUAACUCCGUGCCAGCAGCCGCGGUAAUACGGAGGAUCCGAGCGUUAUCCGGAUUUAUUGGGUUUAAAGGGAGCGUAGGCGGGUUGUUAAGUCAGUUGUGAAAGUUUGCGGCUCAACCGUAGAAUUGCAGUUGAUACUGGCAGCCUUGAGUACAGUAGAGGUAGGCGGAAUUCGUGGUGUAGCGGUGAAAUGCUUAGAUAUCACGAAGAACUCCGAUUGCGAAGGCAGCCUGCUGGACUGUAACUGACGCUGAUGCUCGAAAGUGUGGGUAUCAAACAGGAUUAGAUACCCUAGUAGUC